rnacentral:rRNA from 1 species
AUGGCUUACUAUUCAGAUCAUCAGGCUUAUGCGAGCAACACUACAAACAGCACGGAAAGUGUUCAAGAACUGAUAGGUAAGAUUUCCCAUCGAUUAGAUGAUUUAGCUCGGCAGCGAGAAGUAGUUUUUGAGGAUAGGCCUAGCUCUUAUGAUCCUUAUUCUAGAGGCCAUCCUUAUGUUGCUCCUACCUGCCAUAUUUGUGGAUUUCAGGGCCAUUCGCCCGCUGAAUGUCAGCGUGGUUACUUCCAUCCUCUGGAUUGUUUUGGCAUGAGCUUUGCUCAACAGCAUAGCUCAUACCAAAACAAUUACACACAUGGGUGGCCUGAAAACCAGAAUAUGUCAUAUAGGAGCAAUAUCCCUGAGAUCUCACCGUUUGCUUCUAGUAAUCAUAUGCAGGGAUUUAGGUAUGAAGAGGAGAGCCACAACUAUGGUCCACAACAGAUUUAUUCAGCUCCUACUCAUAUACCUCAACACCAGGACAUGUUGCCAAUGGAGUUAAAUGGUCCUCCAUUUGGUCAACCAACAUCUUCAACACAAGUGCCCACUCAAGAUGAGUUCGAUGACAUAGACAAGCUCACACUUUUGAGUCUCGAGUUCACCUGGAGUGCCGAGGAUGAUCCUAUUAGGAAGGUGAUACUUGAGGAAAUGAAGAAGAUUAAGAGUGGAAAGGAGCUAGUGGAAGAAGUAAGGAAGAUUGAGAAGAACAUCAAUGCUGGCAGUACUAUCUCUUCCCUCCUUGAGUUGAGUGUGGCCGAGAUUCCCCUUGAUACAUGUGAGGUUCCAACACCGUCACAUCCAGUUGAGCAAGAUAGCAAGAGUCCUGAGGAAGAAAGACCUCAGAUUGAAGAAGAUGAACUAGAAGACAAGGAACAAGAUGGUCAAGAGCUGCAAUUCCCAACUGAUCAAGUUGAAGACUCAUCAUCUAUUACUCCUGAAGAAGUACAAGAAGCUGCUGUAGAUGAAGAUGAAGAACAUGAGAUUCAUUUACCUAUUGUCAUACCAGAGCAUGAUGUGUCAGGUUUACCCAAUCCUCUCAAUGACAUGCGUCCUUAUGAUUCCUUUGCUUCUACCUUGCAUUGCAUGAUGCCAUCUGUUAAAGUAGAUUUGAAAAAGUAUUUGCUUGGAUAUGAUCAUAUAUACCCUAUUAGUGGCAUUACUCACAUUAAUGAUGAUCACAGUUACUUUCCUCGUGCUAGACCUAUGCUUAAUGAAACAUAUCAUUCUUAUGCUAGUCUUGAGCUUAAUGAAAAAUAUCAUCCUCAUGUUAGUGUUGACUUUGUUGAUUUCUAUCAUCCUAAACAUGUGCUUUAUAGCUAUGCUUAUGUAAUUGGAUAUUCGAUUGAUGACUUGGAGGGUAUUAUCCCUACCACUUGCAUUGUCUCUUUCGUUGAGUGCUCUUUCAGGUUUUUGCUUGUGCACGAUCCAUUACAUGCUGACCAGGUUCGAGGUGACAUUCCUUGGGACCCUGGUGGACUCAGAGCAUGGGGAUGA